rnacentral:lncRNA from 1 species
CGCUGUUCUAAAGACACAUAUGUCAUAUGGUAAACGUGUCUAAACAAAGUCCUACAAAGUUUAUUUAUUUAUUUUUAAAAUAAACAUGUCUUUUGUUUUGUUUUUUUGAGACAGGGUCUCACUUUGUCACCCAGGCUGGAGUGCAGUGAUGCAGUCACAGCUCAUGGCAGCCUCACCUCCUGGCCUCAGGUGAUCCUCCUGCCUCAGCUCUCUAUUACUCCAUUUUCACACUGCUAUAAAGAACUACCUGAGGCCGGCCGGGCACGGUGGCUCACACUUGUAAUCCCAGCACUUUGGGAGGCCGAGGCGGGCGGAUCACCUGAGGUCAGGAGUUCGAGACCAGCCUGGCCAAAAUGGUGAAACCCCCGUCUCUACUUAAAAUACAAAAAUUAGCCGGGCAUGUUGGCAGGCGCCUAUAAUCCCAGCUACUCGGGAGGCUGAGGCAGGAGAAUUGCUUGAACCCGGGAGGCGGAGGUUGCAGUGAGCC